rnacentral:rRNA from 1 species
UAUGUGAUCGUCUCUCGCAUAUCAAUAAGCGGAGGAAAAGAAACUAACAAGGAUUCCCCUAGUAACGGCGAGUGAAGCGGGAAGAGCUCAAAUUUGAAAUCUUAAAGGGUUUCCCUUUACGAAUUGUAGUUUAAAGAAGUGUUUUCUGUUGAGGUUUUGGUAAAAGUUCUUUGGAAUAGGACAUCAUAGAGGGUGAGAAUCCCGUAUUUGACCUUUACUUUCAACUUUGUGAUACACUUUCAAAGAGUCGGAUUGUUUGGGAAUGCAGUCCAAAAUGGGUGGUAAAUUUCAUCUAAAGCUAAAUAUUGGCGAGAGACCGAUAGCGAACAAGUACCGUGAGGGAAAGAUGAAAAGAACUUUGGAAAGAGAGUUAAACAGUACGUGAAAUUGUCAAAAGGGAAGCGUUUGACACCAGUGUUGUUUUUCUGAAAAUCAAUUAAAGAACUGUUUAUGCUAAGUUGUUUAGACUUUAUCAGCUAACUGUUUAGUUUUGAGCUUUUCUUUAAUGCACUUUUCAGUUAACAAGUCAACAUCAAUUUCUUUUGCUGUAAAAAAGCUUGAGGAAGGUGGCUUGAGAUUCGUCUUAAGUGUUUAUAGCCUCUUGCCUAUGCAGUCGGAGAGAUUGAGGUCUGCAGCGUAGAUCCUUCGGGGCUAAAUGCAUUUGUGCUAAGUUAUAGCAUUUUAUAGACAACUUGUUGACUAUGAUUUGUCUUGUAGCUUACUCGCUUAUGUUAUUUUACCUACGCUUAGGAUGUUGAAGAUAUGCGCGACACG